rnacentral:rRNA from 1 species
AAUCCAUAGGUUAAUGAGGCGAACCGGGGGAACUGAAACAUCUAAGUACCCCGAGGAAAAGAAAUCAACCGAGAUUCCCCCAGUAGCGGCGAGCGAACGGGGAGGAGCCCAGAGCCUGAAUCAGCAUGUGUGUUAGUGGAAGCGUCUGGAAAGGCGCGCGAUACAGGGUGACAGCCCCGUACACAAAAGCGCAUGUGCUGUGAGCUCGAUGAGUAGGGCGGGACACGUGGUAUCCUGUCUGAAUAUGGGGGGACCAUCCUCCAAGGCUAAAUACUCCUGACUGACCGAUAGUGAACCAGUACCGUGAGGGAAAGGCGAAAAGAACCCCGGCGAGGGGAGUGAAAAAGAACCUGAAACCGUGUACGUACAAGCAGUGGGAGCCCCACCACUAAGCCAGUGGUGAACUCCACAUACGCAUCCUUUGCUGAGGAUACGGUUAACGGAGCGAAAGCGACGUUCAACCGCAAAAGAAGCAGAGGGGGCUUAGUGGUGGGGUGACUGCGUACCUUUUGUAUAAUGGGUCAGCGACUUAUAUUCUGUAGCAAGGUUAACCGUAUAGGGGAGCCGGAGGGAAACC